GAAAAUGCUAGGUGGUAGAAUUUAAUUGGAGUAGCAACUGUUCAAAAUUAAGAUUAAAAGGACCAGUCAGUCAACGUGGAUUUCGUGACACCUUAAAAAUAACGUUUCAGGUUUGAUUAAUGCUGCAAGAAGUUUGCACAUUUCUCUCCUUUGCUGAUAGGGCCUGCGUGCUGAUAGUUGAUUCAGUGAAUAUAUGUAGCAGUGAUAGCUCAUGGGCUCCAGAGGUCAGAUAUCUUAUUCUCUAGGCUGAAACCCUUGUUGCUUUAAGGAAACAGGAUUUUAAUAGGAAUCACAUGCAGAUUGACUACAGGGAGCCAAGCGGUAGUGGAAGAAGCAAAGUUGGCGGUUUUGGAGACGGACGUCUAUCUAUCCACAGUGGGACAAAAAUGAAGGUUAUUGAAAAGAAUCAUGCUUGGUGGAAGAAGUAAUUACAUUUUUUUUUCAAAUCUCAGAGGAAUAAUGCUUUUAUAUUUCCUGCGAUGACCCAAUUUGCACUACGAUAUGCUCCCUUAAAUUACAGGUGAUUUAAACAGAAGAGAGGACCACCCCGCCAACCAAAUGUCCAGGUCCUAUUCCAUGGAACCUAUGAACAGGUUGUCCCACAUUGCAAAAGGGACUUCACAGAUGUCGGUAAGUUAAGGCCAUUGAGACGAAUGAUUCUGGAUUGUCUGUUGGGCCCAAUGUGAUCAAAAGUUUCCCUAGAAGAGCUAGAGAAGAUGCGAUAAUGGAAGCGGAAUCAAAGACAGAUUUGAAGAUGCUGCUGUCUUUGGAGAGAAUGGCCAGGAGGCAAGGAACACAAGCAGCCCCUAGAAGUUGGAAAAGAAACAGGAGUGAUAAGGGGGAACUGAGGACUAAAUUUUUCUAAAGGUCUUCCUAAGGUUCCUGGAAGAAGUCACGUUUAUAAGCCAGAACUUACAUAUCUUUCUGCUGUCCCAAAAUUUUUAAACAAAACUACUCUUCCUUAACCAACUGCAAAUCAGAAAAUCUUGGAAUCUACUUAUGACCUGUAAGCCUCCGCUUCAAGAUACCCCACCUUUUUAGACCAAAGCAAUGACUAACCUCCAUGUAUUGAGGUAUGAUUUUGCCUGUAACUUCUGCCUUCUUGAAAGUUACCCAUACCUUUAAAGACCCUUGCUUGCAAGCCACUGAGAAGAUGGGUCUAAAGUGUGCAUUGCCCCAUUCUCCUUGCCUGGUUCCCUGCAAAUAAAUGCCCUGCUUUCUGCAGUGGCAAACCUCA
rnacentral:lncRNA from 1 species